GCAGGAUAAAAAAGCAAAUUUGUGGUGGCUCUUACCCAAUGACCAGGCACAUCAAUUCAUGAAGAAAUUACUAACACAGAGAAACACAGAUGUAUCUUCUGGCAUUUGAAAUUCUAAUCCAGAUGCAAAUAUUGUAGUCAGGAUCCUGUGUCCCACCUUCACAACUUCAGACACACAAGAACUGCAUGGCAUCCCCCAUGCCAGCCGAUGCCUUUGGAGGCAGGCCAGGGCUGUUCAAAGGCAUUCCCAGAAUAAGGAUUAUUUUGCCUUUAUGCUUGCUGUCCACUCAGUCUUUUGUGAGGUGUCUCGGGGAAUGGAGUGACAUUUGAAACAGGAGCAAGGAUUAGACACGUCCCCCCUCCCCGCGUGGGUCACACCAUGCCUGGCAGAGGAGCUGCCGAAGGUGCUGCCAGGCAGAGCCGCUGCACACCCGGGUCUCCUUCACACAGGAGGGGAGAGCAUCCUGUGUGUGCUUCAAGCCUCCACCCACAGGCUGGCAAACUCGAGGUGGGGUCAUCCCUUGGGUGGAGAAUGGGAAAAAACAGUGCCUUUUCAAACCAUGAUCAAUGGCCCCAUCUGCUUGGCAAUGAGAAGUGGAGUCUCAGUCUUUGAUGAGGACUUGCAGGGCUCCAAGACCUUCGAUGGUCACUGGUGGGAGAUCACAUUCAGGCAACCCCAGGGAUCCUCCUGGUCUGGCAGCCUAUGGAUAAAAUCUGUGUGAGUGACUUAAUAUCCUCAAAAAAUUGCCAUGGUGAGUAAUCCCCUGAGAUUUGGUGUUGCCCUCAUAAACACAGGCUGUCCUUUUUUAUAUUUAAACAUCAAAGGAUGCCAUUUGCUUUUAAAGUGAUGUUUGCUGUUAAUAUUCUGCUCCUACAGGCCAGUUGGAUCAUGGGGAGGACACAGUCAUCUCAAAAUAAAGGUCUGCUCUGCUGACUGAUAGCCUUGAAA
rnacentral:lncRNA from 1 species